CCUACGGGAGGCAGCAGUGGGGAAUAUUGCACAAUGGGGGAAACCCUGAUGCAGCGACGCCGCGUGAGUGAAGAAGUAAUUCGUUAUGUAAAGCUCUAUCAGCAGGGAAGAAAAUGACGGUACCUGAGUAAGAAGCCCCGGCUAACUACGUGCCAGCAGCCGCGGUAAUACGUAGGGGGCAAGCGUUAUCCGGAUUUACUGGGUGUAAAGGGAGCGUAGACGGAGUUGCAAGUCUGGGGUGAAAGGCGGGGGCUCAACCCCCGGACUGCUCUGGAAACUGUACGAGUGGAGUGAGGAGGGGCAGGCGGAAUUCCUGGUGUAGCGGUGAAAUGCGUAGAUAUCAGGAGGAACACCGGUGGCGAAGGCGGCCUGCUGGACUGCGACUGACGUUGAGGCCCGAAAGCGUGGGGAGCAAACAGGAUUAGAUACCCGGGUAGUC
rnacentral:rRNA from 1 species